GACGAACGCUGGCGGCGUGCUUAACACAUGCAAGUCGAACGGUUAAGCGCCUUCCUUUUUGGUGGGUGUGGUUGAGUUGCUAACGGUUUAGUAACACGUUAUUAACCUGCCCCCUUCUUCUUGAUAACCUCAUGCAAUUGUUCCUAAUACUGGUUAUUCUGGUUCUUUCGCAUUAUGUGUCUUGGAAAGAUAUUGUUUCUGUUGGUGAUUGGCUCGCGUCCUAUCAUCUUGUUUGUGGGGUGAUGGCCUACCAAGGCGGUGACGGGUAGCCGGCCUGAGAGGGUGGACGGUCACACUGGGACUGAGACACGGCACAGAAUCCUACGGGAGGCAGCAGUGGGGAAUAUUGCACAAUGGGCGAAAGACUGAUGCAGCGACGACGCGUGAGGGAUGGAGGCCUUCGGGUUGUGAACCUCUUUCGCCAGUGAAGCAGGCCUGCAUCGUUUGUGGGUGGGUUGACGGUAGCUGGAUAAGAAGCGCCGGCUAACUACGUG
rnacentral:rRNA from 1 species